AUUGAACGCUGGCGGCAGGCCUAACACAUGCAAGUCGAGCGAGCGGCGGACGGGUGAGUAAUGUCUGGGAAACUGCCCGCUGGAGGGGGAUAACUACUGGAAACGGUAGCUAAUACCGCAUACCCUCAGAUGUGCCCAGAUGGGAUUAGCUAGUAGGUGGGGUACCGGCUCACCUAGGCGACGAUCCCUAGCUGGUCUGAGAGGAUGACCAGCCACACGGGAACGGAGACACGGGCCAGACUCCUACGGGAGGCAGCAGUGGGGAAUAUUGCACAAUGGGCGCAAGCCUGAUGCAGCCAUGCCGCGUGUGUGAAGAAGGCCUUCGGGUUGUAAAGCACUUUCAGCGGGGAGGCGUUACCCGCAGAAGAAGCACCGGCUAACUCCGUGCCAGCAGCCGCGGUAAUUC
rnacentral:rRNA from 1 species